rnacentral:rRNA from 1 species
ACUCCUACGGGAGGCAGCAGUGGGGAAUCUUGCGCAAUGGGCGAAAGCCUGACGCAGCCAUGCCGCGUGAAUGAUGAAGGUCUUAGGAUUGUAAAAUUCUUUCACCGGGGACGAUAAUGACGGUACCCGGAGAAGAAGCCCCGGCUAACUUCGUGCCAGCAGCCGCGGUAAUACGAAGGGGGCUAGCGUUGCUCGGAAUUACUGGGCGUAAAGGGAGCGUAGGCGGACAUUUAAGUCAGGGGUGAAAUCCCGGGGCUCAACCUCGGAAUUGCCUUUGAUACUGGGUGUCUUGAGUAUGAGAGAGGUGUGUGGAACUCCGAGUGUAGAGGUGAAAUUCGUAGAUAUUCGGAAGAACACCAGUGGCGAAGGCGACACACUGGCUCAUUACUGACGCUGAGGCUCGAAAGCGUGGGGAGCAAACAGGAUUAGAUACCCCAGUAGUCCCAUGAU